AAUGCCAUUGUUGAGACUAUUUUCCUCUAAAGUGUGAACAGCACAGGCUAAUAAUGGCAAAAGCAAUCCAGACCAUUUGAAGACAUUUGCAUAAACUGACAAAGAGUAGAAAAGAAGAACUGAGUGUAGGAGCAGGUAAUGAAACUGUUUGGAUAUUUGGUCGCAUGGUUAAUCAGCGGAACCUUUCAUUGUGAGGCAGGUGUUCCACCCGGAAGGGGAGAAACAGUUUUUGACCGCUGAAGUAAGAUGCUGUCAACAGGUGUAAGCGUGUGGAAAUAUGUUUGUCUUCAAGUGGAAACGGAUGAGAUGUAAAUAAAAUAAAUAGAUGACCUGCAUAAUGAGCAGUGUUAACUCGGACUUUAAUUCAUCCGACAAGACAACAAGCAGUGCGUCAACACUACCCUGGUGUAUCACCUCAGUGGCUUAAAGCAUUGGCUUGGCCUGUACAAUGAAAGUCAAAAACUGUGAGUUCGAGAACUGUGCAUUGCAUGGAGCUUUGGAUGCGAGAUUGAUGGCAUUUGGCUACGACGAGGGACUCAUGAUGGAGCCUGUAUGUUUGGAAUGACGCGUCAGCUGGUUGGCCUCAGCUCACCUGCAGCGGGUGACGUUGAACAGGGUCGACGUCGGUGAGGAUGCCGUGGAUCUUCUCAUUGCUGGAUUUGAAAGCAUUCAUCAGAACUAGGGCUUCAGUGAACCACUGUGAGAGUCAUGACCCACAAAUGGAGACAAAACAUGGAGCAGUUGUAAACCAUCCCAGGAGUGUCCGUCCUACAACAGUUACUCCAAGAGCGCUGGGCGACUCUUCCAGGAGAUCACAAAAGAACCCAGAACAUCUUAAGCACUAAAGACCUCAGUUAGGGUCAGAGUUAAUUAUUCAACAAUACUAAAUAGACUGGACAAAAAUAGCAUCCAUGUGAGGAUUUAAAGACCAAAACCACUGCUGACCAAAAAAAAACGCAAAGGCCCCAUCUGGCAUUUGGACCAAAAUAUAUCUUGCUAAUAUUCUGUGGGCUGAAAAGACAUAAACUGGAACUUUUGGGAAGGUGUGGGUACAUCCGGCUUAAAAUAGCAUUUCAGAAACAUAAUACAGAACAUCAUGAUGACAAACAGGGUGGUGGUAGUAUGAUGGUAUGGGGCUGCUUCAGGACUUGGAUGACUUGUCAUAAAUGAUGGAGCCAUGAAUUUUGCUUCCUAUCUGAAGGACAACGUCCAGCCAUCACCUUAAGCUCAAGCAUGCUUUAGUUAUGUAUCAUACGCCAAAGUUAACCUCUAAGCAGUUAAAAAAAAACAGCAUGAAGGUUUUGAGGUGGCCUAGUCAAAGUCUGUACUUAAAUUUAAUUGAGGGGCUUUGGCAUGACCUUAAACAGGCCGUUCAUUCCCACAAAUCCUCAAAUUUUCCUCAGUUAAAACAAUUUUGCAAAAAAGAAAGGGACAAAACUCUUCCGCAGUGUCAACAGACCGCCAAGGUGGCAAAACCAGCUUUUAGGUUCACAUAGGGCCAGGCUGGCCUGGAUAACCUUUUUAUUCUCAAUAACUGAAAUCAUUACUUGAAAGGUGCAUUUUGUAUUUACUCGGGUUAUCUUUAUUCGAUAUUAAAAUCUCUACGGUGAUUUCAAACAUUAUAAAUGUGACCAAAAAGAAACCUGUAUGGGGGCUAUUUAGACUCUUUUUAAAACCUGCUGUACCUGAUGAUUAUGCUUUGAGGCCAAUGAAACGUAACACUGGCUAUUAUUUAAAGAUCAAUAAAAGAAAAUGUAAACUUUUUGUAAAAUUAAGAAGUUAUCUGAAUGACAUAAAACUUCCAGGAAAAAAUUUACAAAUAAUCAAUUUAAACAGUGAAGAUAUUUAAAAUUUGGAAAGGUUUUUAUUAAAAGUAAAAAAAAAAAAUGUUUAGAGUUUUGUGAACAGCAGCAUUUUCUACGUCUACUCAGAAUGAUCUGCUUUUGUAAUUAAUAGAACAAUAAUUGACGAGGGUUGUUUAUAUUCAACUGAGAACGUAUAUAAAACGUAGACGUGUUUCAUUUAUGAUCAAAUAAAAAAAUUCAAGCAACCAUUAUAAUCCAUUCCAAGCCAGAUUAGUACAAAGUUUAAAAAGGAAAAAGUUAGAAUCUACUUUAAUUUAGGUUUACAACAUAAGAUUUGCAAAUGAUCAUGAAAUCAUGAAACUGUUAUUAGCCUGUUUGGGCUGAUAUUGAAUGGACCCCACCCCCCUAAAAAAAACGUGUAGUUCAAAAUUCCCACCCUCAGACAAUGCUAGAAAAUGUGUGCUGUAAAGUUGAAAGUUGAAAGAACCGAGGACAAUUCGAAGAUAAACAGCAAGUCAACAGUUUGCAUCAUUGCUUGUGCGAAGCUUUUCUGUUUGUACUUUUACCUUAUUGAAUCUAGAAGUAGAGCAUACAGCUAUUUUUAGUUUGCAGAAAAAACAAAUGCCCCAAAUCAUUAAUAUUACAUUCUUCAUGUAAAGAAAGAGUGAAAGAAACUUUAAACGAUUUUAUGUAACUAAAGGCAAUUCAUUUUACUGCUUUUUUUUGCAGUAAUCCAAUGAGCUACUCAGAAAUAUUAAAAACACGUGGUGGAGGCUGCAUUUACCCAACCUCUUGCAUCUUUUAUAAACUGUGGACAAGCAUUCUGACUUUUAGAUUAAAAAAUAUUGCAUUCAA